GAUGAACGCUGGCGGCGUGCCUAAUACAUGCAAGUCGAGCGGUAAGGCCUCUUCGGAGGUACACGAGCGGCGGACGGCUGAGUAACACGUAGGAACAUACCCCAAAGUGAGGGAUAACUGCUCGAAAGAGUAGAUAAUACCGCAUGUGGUCUUCGGAUUAAAGCUUCGGCGCUUUGGGAAUGGCCUGCGUCUGAUUAGCUAGAUGGUGAGGUAAUGGCUCACCAUGGCGACGAUCAGUAGCUGGUCUGAGAGGAUGAUCAGCCAGACUGGAACUGAGACACGGCCCAGACUCCUACGGGAGGCAGCAGUAGGGAAUUUUCCACAAUGGGCGAAAGCCUGAUGGAGCAACGCCGCGUGCAGGAUGAAUGCCUUCGGGUUGUAAACUGCUUUUAUAUGUGACGAAUAUGACGGUAGCAUAUGAAUAAGGAUCGGCUAACUCCGUGCCAGCAGCCGCCGUAA
rnacentral:rRNA from 1 species